rnacentral:misc_RNA from 1 species
GACUUUAAGUCUCCCGCCUCUCCCUCUACAGUCUGCACUCUCACUCGCUCGUAACGUGUUACCUCACCACCUCAGCUCGCAUCAUGGCCGCCAACUGCAUCUUCUGCAAGAUCAUCAAGGGUGAGAUCCCCUGCGCGAAGGUCGCCGAGACGUCCAAGGCGCUCGCCUUCAUGGACAUCAACCCCCUCUCGCGGGGACACGUACUCGUCAUCCCGAAGGAUCACGCAAGCUGCCUGCACGAGCUGGGCAUGGAGGACGCCGCGGAUGUGGGUGUGCUGCUUGCCAAGGUCAGCCGUGCGGUCGCUGGACCGGAUGGCUCCAUGCAGUACAAUGUCCUUCAGAACAACGGCAGUCUAGCUCACCAGGAGGUGCCGCACGUCCACUUCCACAUCAUCCCGAAGACGGAUGAGAAGACGGGGCUGAAAAUCGGCUGGGACACAGUCAAGGUAGCGUCGGACGAACUCGCCGAGGACGCGAAGCAGUACAGCGAGGCGGUCGCGAAGAUUCAGUAGCGGCCAGGAACGCGACAAGAAGACAACGUGAGCCAUGUCGGUGCGGCGGCGCUGUCUUUCUCCUUCUCCCGCAACACAUAUCCUUCAGCCCCCACCUACCCACACGCACACACACGGCCUUCACAACUUCGCAUCCCCCGCGUAAGAGCACGUGUACGUCGCUGUUUCUUCUUUUCUCUGUAUGUGCGCCAUCGAAGGCGCUCAGGUAUGCUGAGGCUCUCCUGUCUUCCGUCUUUGUCGCUCCCACCUCCCCCCCC